rnacentral:rRNA from 1 species
AUGACGCCACUCUCGACAAACCUGAAGGGGAGCUUGAUGCUCAACAGGCACAAGCCUUUCAGAAAAUGGAUACUCUGUUUAAGGCUGCUCUCUUUGAGUGUUCUUGGUGAGAACAUAGUUGCUGCUUAUGCGUCAAUUGAUAUUGUAAAAGAUAUGUGGGAUGCACUCGAGGCCAAGUUUGGGGUCUCGGAUGCUGGCACUGAGUUGUACAUCAUGGAGCAAUUCUAUAACUACAGGAUGACUGAAGAGCGCUCCAUGGUUGAGCAAGCUCAUGAGAUACAGUCAUUUGCUAGAGAACUUGAGCACUACGGUUGUAUGCUACCGGACAAGUUUGUUGCCGGAGGUAUCAUCACUAAGCUUCCUCCUUCAUGGAGGAACUUUGCUACCUUGCUGAAGCAUAAGAGACAAGAGUUUUCCGUCCCGGAUCUCAUUGGCACUCUUGAUGUGGAAGAAACGACGAGAGCAAAGGACACACGUGCUCGAGGUAUUGAG